rnacentral:rRNA from 1 species
UACGUAGGGGGCAAGCGUUGUCCGGAAUUAUUGGGCGUAAAGAGCUCGUAGGCGGUCUGUCGCGUCUGCUGUGAAAACCUAGGGCUUAACUCUGGGCGUGCAGUGGGUACGGGCAGGCUAGAGUGCGGUAGGGGAGACUGGAAUUCCUGGUGUAGCGGUGAAAUGCGCAGAUAUCAGGAGGAACACCGGUGGCGAAGGCGGGUCUCUGGGCCGUAACUGACGCUGAGGAGCGAAAGCGUGGGGAGCGAACAGG